UGGGGAAUAUUGCACAAUGGGCGAAAGCCUGAUGCAGCGACGCCGCGUGAGGGAUGACGGCCUUCGGGUUGUAAACCUCUUUCAGCAGGGAAGAAGCGAAAGUGACGGUACCUGCAGAAGAAGCGCCGGCUAACUACGUGCCAGCAGCCGCGGUAAUACGUAGGGCGCAAGCGUUGUCCGGAAUUAUUGGGCGUAAAGAGCUCGUAGGCGGUUAGUCGCGUCUGCUGUGAAAACUCGAGGCUCAACCUCGGGCUUGCAGUGGGUACGGGCUGACUAGAGUGCGGUAGGGGUGACUGGAAUUCCUGGUGUAGCGGUGGAAUGCGCAGAUAUCAGGAGGAACACCGAUGGCGAAGGCAGGUCACUGGGCCGCAACUGACGCUGAGGAGCGAAAGCAUGGGGAGCGAACAGGAUUAGAUACCCUGGUAGUCCAUGCCGUAAACGUUGGGCACUAGGUGUGGGGUCCAUUCCACGGAUUCCGUGCCGCAGCAAACGCAUUAAGUGCCCCGCCUGGGGAGUACGGCCGCAAGGCUAAAACUCAAAGGAAUUGACGGGGUCAAGCUGUUUCCU
rnacentral:rRNA from 1 species